CCUUGGGGCUGUCAUGCCGCAAACUUUUCUUCCAGGGAUUAACAAGAGAAACUCAUGAGCACACGUGGAGCUUCCCGCAACGCACAACAGAGAGAGAGCGAGAGAGAGACAGAGAGAGAGAAAGAAAGAGAGAGAGCAAGAGAUGGGACCAUGUAAAGGCACUUCUAACAGAUCUCCUCUCAUCCUCCCUCUCUUCUUCCUUCCUUCCUCUCCUCCUCCUCGUGCUGCUCUGCCAGUAAAGCCUGUUCCUGCUCACCUUGGCCAGGCUGAUGUGGGAUGCAAGCAGCUCCAUGUGAAUGCCUUUUUGCUCUUUAAAGAGCAGCUGUAUAGCUGCCGUGGCUAUCAGGAUCAGGGUGUGAUCUCCUUUUCUACUCGUUCCUCUCCUUCGCGCUCCCCUCAGUCCUCGUGCCUGCCUGUUUGUGUGUUAUUUCUCACCAGCAGACACUCCGCUACCCCACACACCCCUCUCCAGAGGGCAGACUGUGGGUUGCGUUCCCUCUUCUAGUCGGCUGGGCUGUGUGGGGUUCGGAGUCAGAGCGCUGUGAGAUGUAUUCCCUCUGAAACCCGGAGUGAGGGGGGGCAGGAAGUAACUCAGCAGCCGUAGAGGUAGCAUCGGCGUCGACAGCGGUGGCAACAGUGAGCGUGUGAGAGAGAGAUUAGAGUAGUGGAGCACGUUGCUGAGCUGAGCUGUGCCAUAGCGUGUUCUGUCUGGCUCCGUGCGCUCUGGUGAGGCAGGGGCGUCCAGGAGGGGAGACAUGUGGCUCAGCCCAAAGCCUCAGGACCAGGAACAGUGAAGAGCAGCCCUCGGCAGCCUCUAGCAGUAUGGCAGAGCCAGAGACCCACUGAUGAUUCCAGCCUGACUGAUGCCAGCCCACGUGUGGGUUACCAUGCGCCACAGCCGCGCCGCACCAGAGGGAAACACAGCCAUGUGAAAGUGGACUUGGUCGAAGAGCAACUCUUGGACAUGUUUUCCAGGGAAAAGUUUGUAUUUUUCUCCAUUUUUGAACUUGUUUUGUUUCUCUUGGUGCUGUUUGGCGGUCCCGAGCUCAGCCAGCAGGCAAGGACUAAAGCCAGAUGGAACAAGGGGGACUGUGGUCUGCCAGUGUGUGAUGAGAUUCACAGGGUGUGCAUUUCCAGGUGGGACAUAAUCGAGAUGUACAGUACGAAAGUGUUUAAACCAAGCGAAGGGAGAGAAGGAGGGAAGGUGCAUCUUCAAUCCAUCUCUCAAAGCCCAGGGGAGUGUGUGACAGAUAAGGCUAAUCUGAACACCCAAGCAUCUGGGAUUCUGUGUUAAAGACCCAGAUCACUAGUCUGAGGAGAGGUAUUCAUAAUUUCUCUAACCCUCCACAGGAGCCCUCUUCUCCCUCCUCCUCUCUCAGCGUUUAAUCCCCUUUGGAUUAAAAGAAACCUCUAAUCUUUGUGCUGCUGCUCCGAUGCAUCCGUGAGAAGGCUGGGAGAUGCUCCCUGCAGCCCAUCAGCGUUGUUAGCUCUCAUGGCUCCUGCUUAGCGGAGUGUGCCUGUCUUCAAAGAGAGAGCCUCGCUCGUCACCACCACCAUCCAUUUAAUGAUUCCUCCUCUACUGCUCGCCCGCCCGCCACUGCUCCCUCGCUCGUUGCUCAUUCUCUCACCCUCUCUCUCUCCCGUCUCUCACUCAUUCCUCCCCUCGCAUCUCCCUGCUGUCAUUCCUGCUCCCACACUCUCCUCCCAUCCAUAGAAGAUCAUUAAUGCACAGGAUUCCUGAGUUAAUGACAUUGACCAGUCUCUCAGAUAGUGCAGCGUGUGCUCACACUGAGCGAUGGAUGAGCAGUUCCUUCUGAAGUGCCUCUUUUCUCCCCUGCCAGACUCCCAUUUCACGCACGUUUAAAACAUUCUUUACAUGAGGGAUGGGUUUUUAGACAGACAAUCUCCUCACUAUUCUGCCUCUGCAUGAGAGAGGCUCCCAGCUAUUCCAAUGUGGUGUCUAGAUGUGGCAACAUCUGGUAUGCCAUAGUGGUUUUACUACUUAUGAAGAAGCAGGCAGGAAUUUUGAGAUUAAGAUAUUCAUUUUAUAAGAACAAGUACACAUACCAACCUUCUUUAAAUUGGGGCCAUCGUCAGGGGAAAAGGAUAAGAAAAAACAGGGGAAACCCCUGGGUUGAGGCAGAAUGUCUCCAGUGUCUGAAUUGUAAUCUGUCAAAGGGUUGAGGCAGAAUAUCUCCACUGUGUGUCUGAAUUGUAAUAUGUAAAAGGUUUGAGGCAGAAUAUCUCCAGUGUGUGUGAAUUGUAAUCUGUAAAAUGGUUAAAACAGAAUAUCUUAAAUGUGUGUCCGAAUUGUAAUCUGUAAAAGGGUUGAGGCAGAAUAUCUCCAGUGUGUGUGAAUUGUAAUCUGUAAAAUGGUUAAAACAGAAUAUCUUAAAAGUGUGUGUCCGAACUGUAAUCUGUAAAAGGUUUGAGACAGAAUAUCUCCACUGUGUGUCUGAAUUGCAAUAUGUAAUUCUGGUGGGAAAGUAGCUCCAGUGUGAUAUCCCAGCAAUCUUUAUCCCCUGGUGAAACGGAGGCCAGUGACCUCCCCUAGUGUAAUUAGGCCAUGUAUCCCCUGGCUAUGUGCUGUGUGCAGUUGGACCAAUCACCCCAUAACCAAGCACAAGCUCUGCAGCCGCACAGCUACACAUGCCGAAUUUCAGCCCCAUAUCCCGUUUGAAAAUAGUAAUUUUAACCAUGAAUGUGGUGAGAUCAGUGUGGAAUGACU
rnacentral:lncRNA from 1 species